rnacentral:rRNA from 1 species
GUCUUUGGCCAGACCACCCUGAACACGCCCAAUCUCAUCUGAUCUCAGAAGCUAAGCAGGGUUGGGCCUGGUUAGCACUUGGAUGGGAGACCUCCCGGGAAUACUGGGUGCUGUAGGCU